UUGGUGCACCGGGUUGUAAACAACAAACCCGGUAAGCUAAAAAGCUCGUAUGAGUAACUCCCAAAAUAAUAACCCAACAAUCCCAACAUCACAUAUAAUUAAAACUGGUAAUUCCUGCAUUAGCAACUUAGUUCAAGAAUCGCCUAAAAGCAAGAGAAUUCAAAAGAAACAAUUAAGAAAACACAAUAAUUUAAAAUCACUCAAAAUCAUAAAUGACACUACCAGGACAAGCACUUUAGCCGACGAAAAAUUUUCGUCGGCCUGUUAUCUUAAUUCGUCGGCUAAGAUCUUAGCCGACGAAGGCUCGUCGGCUAUAGUGUCGUCGGGAAAAGGUCGUCUGUGAUGACUUUAGCCGACGAAAUUUUUUUUUUCGUCGGCUAUAGUCCCACAGUUAGCCGACGAAAAACAUGUCGUCGGUUUUUUUCCCAGACUUUAGCCGACGAAACAAUUAAUAUAUUCGUCGGCUAAAGUGUGUAAUAAAUAAUUAAAAAUAACUAUAGCCGACGAAAUUUACUAUAUUUCGUCGGCUAAACCUUAUAAAAAAUUUAAAACAAUAACUAUAGCCGACGAAAUAUAAAAUAUUUCGUCGGCUAAACCUUAUAAAAAUUUUAAAAAAAUAACUAUAGCCGACGAAUUAUGGCAUAAUUCGUCGGCUAAACCUUAUAANNNNN
rnacentral:lncRNA from 1 species